UAUCCUGGCUCAGGAUGAACGCUGGCGGCGUGCUUAACACAUGCAAGUCGAACGGACUCAUAUUGAAACCUAGUGAUUUAUGAGUUAGUGGCGGACGGGUGAGUAACGCGUGGAAAACCUGCCGUAUACUGGGGGAUAACACUUAGAAAUAGGUGCUAAUACCGCAUAAGCGCACAGCUUCGCAUGAAGUGGUGUGAAAAACUCUGGUGGUAUACGAUGGUUCCGCGUCUGAUUAGCUUGUUGGCGGGGUAAUGGCUCACCAAGGCGACGAUCAGUAGCCGGCCUGAGAGGGUGAACGGCCACAUUGGGACUGAGACACGGCCCAAACUCCUACGGGAGGCAGCAGUGGGGAAUAUUGCACAAUGGGGGAAACCCUGAUGCAGCGACGCCGCGUGAGUGAAGAAGUAUUUCGGUAUGCAAAGCUCUAUCAGCAGGGAAGAAAUAGCGACCUUUGGGUCGCCAGACGGUACCUGACUAAGAAGCCCCGGCUAACUACGUG
rnacentral:rRNA from 1 species